UCGGACGCAGCCUUGCCGCUCUUCGUAUCCGGGGCGGUUUCAGCGCCCUUCGACUUAAUUCCAUCCUUGGUGCUGUCCUGAGCACGCUGGGCAUUCCCGCCCUCGCGNCAUCUGGGCCUGGCCGCCCUUCAUCUCACCGGAUGGCGCGGCCUUGUCAGCAGGCGCGCCCGCAGAUGGCGCUGUCUGCGACGCGGCAGGUGCGUUUGGAGCAUUGCCCGGAGCCUGCGCCGAAACCAGUCCCGCACUGCCGAUCAGGGCGGCCGUCGCGACCGUCAUCAAAAGCUUGGUCUUCAUAUUAUCCUCCUCGUUGUCUGCCCAAUCCUCAACGAGAAGCCAUCGGCUCUGUUCCGUGUAAAAAUGUUAUGUUGCGUG
rnacentral:misc_RNA from 1 species